GGACGAACGCUGGCGGCGUGCCUAAUACAUGCAAGUCGAGCGGACCUCAUAGGAAGCUUGCUUUUUAUGAGGUUAGCGGCGGACGGGUGAGUAACACGUGGGUAACCUGCCCUAUAGACCGGGAUAACUCGCGGAAACGCGUGCUAAUACCGGAUAACACAGCGGAGCGCAUGCUCCGGUGUUGAAAGGUGGUUCUGCUACCGCUAUAGGAUGGGCCCGCGGCGCAUUAGCUAGUUGGUGGGGUAACGGCCUACCAAGGCGACGAUGCGUAGCCGACCUGAGAGGGUGAUCGGCCACACUGGGACUGAGACACGGNCCAGACUCCUACGGGAGGCAGCAGUAGGGAAUCUUCCACAAUGGGCGAAAGCCUGAUGGAGCAACGCCGCGUGAGCGAAGAAAGUCUUCNGAUCGUAAAGCUCUGUUGUAAGGGAAGAACAAGUGCGGUAGUAACUGAACGCACCCUGACNGUACCUUACGAAA
rnacentral:rRNA from 1 species